rnacentral:rRNA from 1 species
UACGUAGGUGGCAAGCGUUGUCCGGAUUUAUUGGGUUUAAAGGGCGCGUAGGCGGCCCUGUAAGUCAGUGCUGAAAUAUCCCAGCUUAACUGGGAGGGUGGCAUUGAUACUGCGGGGCUAGAGUACAGAUGAGGUAGGCGGAAUUGACGGUGUAGCGGUGAAAUGCUUAGAUAUCGUCAAGAACACCUAUAGCGAAGGCAGCUUACUAGGCUGUAACUGACGCUGAGGCGCGAAAGCGUGGGGAGCAAACAGG